rnacentral:rRNA from 1 species
UACGAAGGGGGCUAGCGUUGCUCGGAAUCACUGGGCGUAAAGGGCGCGUAGGCGGGCUCUUAAGUCAGGGGUGAAAGCCCCGGGCUCAACCUGGGAACAGCGCUUGAGACUGGCACGCUCGAGUUCGGGAGAGGAUGGUGGAAUUCCCAGUGUAGAGGUGAAAUUCGUAGAUAUUGGGAAGAACACCAGUGGCGAAGGCGGCUUUCUGGACUGUAACUGACGCUGAGGCAUGAAAGCGUGGGGAGCAAACAGG